rnacentral:rRNA from 1 species
CCUACGGGAGGCAGCAGUGGGGAAUAUUGGACAAUGGGCGAAAGCCUGAUCCAGCAAUACCGCGUGGGUGAUGAAGGUCUUCGGAUUGUAAAGCCCUUUUAGUGGAGAAGAUAAUGACGGUAUCCACAGAAAAAGCACCGGCAAACUUCGUGCCAGCAGCCGCGGUAAUACGAAGGGUGCUAGCGUUGUUCGGAAUCACUGGGCGUAAAGCGUACGUAGGCGGUUUAGUAAGUCGAUUGUGAAAUCCCCAAGCUCAACUUGGGAAUUGCAACCGAAACUGCUUUACUGGAGUUUGGUGGGGGAUGGCGGAAUUCCUAGUGUAGGGGUGAAAUCCGUAGAGAUUAGGAGGAACACCGGCGGCGAAAGCGGCCAUCUACGCCAAUACUGACGCUAAGGUACGAAAGCGUGGGGAGCAAACAGGAUUAGAUACCCCUGUAGUC